rnacentral:rRNA from 1 species
GCGUGAAGUUGGAAUUGCCAGUAAUCGCGGAUCAGCAUGCCGCCGGUGAAUACGUUCCCGGGCCUUGUACACACCGCCCGUCACACCAUGGGAGCCGGUAAUACCCGAAGUCAGUAGUCUAACCGCAAGGGGGGCGCUGCCGAAGGUAGGAUUGGCGACUGGGGUGAAGUCGUAACAAGGUAAC